UACGUAGGGUGCGAGCGUUGUCCGGAAUUAUUGGGCGUAAAGAGCUCGUAGGCGGUGUGUCGCGUCGGCCGUGAAAACCUGGGGCUUAACUCUGGGCGUGCGGUCGAUACGGGCAUCACUAGAGUUCGGCAGGGGAGACUGGAAUUCCUGGUGUAGCGGUGAAAUGCGCAGAUAUCAGGAGGAACACCGGUGGCGAAGGCGGGUCUCUGGGCCGACAUUGACGCUGAGGAGCGAAAGCUAGGGGAGCAAACGGG
rnacentral:rRNA from 1 species